CCCUCCCCUCGGCUUCGACUUCGGUGCAAGGAAUGUAAACCCUCACCUGGAGCAUUCGAUUAUAUAUUGGCAUAAAUUUAUAAUACUUCAAAGCACUCGGAAGACGUAUUAUUUCUAAGUUUUUGCCAGCUUUUUAUAUAAAAUAUUCUUCGUACCUCUGCUGACGCUUCGGCGCAUCGGUGCAGGUUGAGGGACAGAGACAUAGUUUCUAAGUGCUCGGCCACGUUUGUCCUGAAUUAGUUUGUCCACUUUAACGAAGAUACCGCAUUUCGGUCGACACGUGAAGUACCUAUGGCCAUUCACAGCACCAUCGUUUUUACCUAAACGUGAGGAUAAUAAAAGCGAACGUUACCUGUCGGGGCAUCGAGUUCAACUCCUAUCCACGUCCCGGAUGCAAACUCUGUUGGGCCAACGUACGCUAUGACACCAGAAUAGCUGUAUGGGCGAACCAGCACCGAUUCACCAACUA